rnacentral:rRNA from 2 species
UCUUCAUGAUUCAGAUCUUGGUGAGUGGCGGACGGGUGAGUAACACGUGGGUAACCUGCCCAAAAGUGGGGGAUAACAUUUGGAAACAAGUGCUAAUACCGCAUAACAACUACUUUCGCAUGAUCGUAGUUUAAAAGAUGGCUCUGCUAUCACUUUUGGAUGGACCCGCGGCGUAUUAGCUAGUUGGUGAGGUAAUAGCUCACCAAGGCAAUGAUACGUAGCCGACCUGAGAGGGUAAUCGGCCACAUUGGGACUGAGACACGGCCCAAACUCCUACGGGAGGCAGCAGUAGGGAAUCUUCCACAAUGGGCGAAAGCCUGAUGGAGCAAUGCCGCGUGAGUGAAGAAGGUUUUCGGAUCGUAAAACUCUGUUGUUGAAGAAGAACAUGCGUGAGAGUAACUGUUCACGUACUGACGGUAUUCAACCAGAAAGCCACGGCUAACUACGUGCCAGCAGCCGCGGUAAUACGUAGGUGGCAAGCGUUGUCCGGAUUUAUUGGGCGUAAAGAGAAUGUAGGCGGUUUAUUAAGUUUGAAGUGAAAGCCCUCGGCUCAACCGAGGAAGUGCUUCGAAAACUGGUAAACUUGAGUGCAGAAGAGGAAAGUGGAACUCCAUGUGUAGCGGUGGAAUGCGUAGAUAUAUGGAAGAGCACCAGUGGCGAAGGCGGCUUUCUGGUCUGUAACUGACGCUGAGAUUCGAAAGCAUGGGUAGCAAACAGGAUUAGAUACCCUGGUUAGUCCAUGCCGUCACGAU